rnacentral:rRNA from 1 species
CCUACGGGUGGCUGCAGUGGGGAAUAUUGGACAAUGGGCGAAAGCCUGAUCCAGCCAUGCCGCGUGUGUGAAGAAGGCCUUCGGGUUGUAAAGCACUUUCAGUGGGGAAGAAAGCCUUGGGGCUAAUACCCUCGAGGAAGGACAUCACCCACAGAAGAAGCACCGGCUAACUCCGUGCCAGCAGCCGCGGUAAUACGGAGGGUGCGAGCGUUAAUCGGAAUUACUGGGCGUAAAGCGCGCGUAGGCGGUCUGAUAAGCCUGUUGUGAAAGCCCCGGGCUCAACCUGGGAACGGCAUCCGGAACUGUCAGGCUAGAGUGCAGGAGAGGAAGGUAGAAUUCCCGGUGUAGCGGUGAAAUGCGUAGAGAUCGGGAGGAAUACCAGUGGCGAAGGCGGCCUUCUGGACUGACACUGACGCUGAGGUGCGAAAGCGUGGGUAGCAAACAGGAUUAGAUACCCCAGUAGUC